rnacentral:lncRNA from 1 species
UCUGGUGAGCCAUGCUGCAAGAUGGUAUGCAAAUUAUUUCAGCAUGUAAUCAACCACUUGCCUAAGCCAAAAGUGUAUACCCAGAGAGAUUCCCCGCUAAAAUAAAGAGACCAUUUUUUUUAAAGGGAGAGAAUAUAUUAGCCUUCAUUGGCAAUGCUAUAAACACCAUUGGCUUUAGAAAAAAUAAAACAAGGAGGCUAUUUUAACAAGGCUCUCAUAAGGUACUUUGACCUGUUUCAUUUGUAAUUCCAUCUCCCAGGGGUAGGUUCUACUUUCAAUUCAACCUUUGAAUGUUUACAUCUAAAAGAGUGUUUGGAGGUAUGGGACAUCUUUGACUAUAUCUGGCAGGGGCAGCCAAGGGAAAAGUUGUAGAGAAAUUCUUAUUGAAUUCAAGAAUUUACUUCAAUUCUCCCAGAAACCAGUGAUCUCACUGACAUAAAUACUCUCUUCAGCAAAACAGAUUGCAGUCAAGGGUCUAAUGAGUCUUUGCAUCAAGAAAAUAUUCAUAAGAAUUUGCAGUUUACCUACAAAAAUGCCCAUACGUCAUACAUUCAACCAGAAGGACUAGAAAUAUCAUGGUCGUAUUAG